GUGAGUCUCAUUGCAUCCAUCUUUUCUCCAGACUUUGAGGAAGAGCUUGGAGGAAUUUAAAGAUGUAGGAGAGUUUAGUACCUUUUCUUAGGUUGGUUAUGGAGGGCUUUUGUUGUUGGACGUUAAUUCAGACAGUGCAUAUUUACUCUUGGCUAAAAUCUUUUGCUUGUAUCUUGAGAGACAACAGCCACAGGAACUUUUUUUUUAAAAUACAAAUAAAUAAAUAAAUGCCAUUUUGAGGAUGGAAAAUUAAAUCCUAAGGACCAACGUGGCAGCUGGCCAACUGGUAAUCAUGCUGAGCCUUCAGAAUUAUGCCUGGCAUUUAUGCACAAAGCAAGCAGAUGAAGCUUGCCAGGCGGGAGCUAGCAAACAAGAAGUACGCGGAGCAAAUAUGAUACAGGGAGAAAAAAAAAAUCUACAGUGGCAAAGGGAAAGCUGUAAUUCCAGGACAUCAUUUUCAGUGGUGAUAUAUGCAGCAGCUUGCAGUAGUGGCAGUGAAGAAAAAUUCCAGAGAUGAAAAGGCUAGAACAACCCCUUAAUCUCCUUCGUGCCUGUCCUGUGUGACAAGAAAGUCUCCCUUUGAAAUGAGAAGAGAUACAGCCUAUGAGAGGAAAGUUUGAGCAUAAAGAGAUUGGGCAACACUCAGAGGUGCCACAGGGAAAGCCGGGAGAGAAACAACCGUUCACUGUGGACAAAGCUAUAAGACUGCAUUCCUGCCUGGAAAACCUCUGCAACUACAGUCAAGUGACAACACCUUUCCGUUGAAGCAGUUUCACACGUGCCAGAAACUGCUACACAAUGCCAUAAGCAGCAAAGAAGCUGAGCAGGAGGUGACUUGAAACAGGUAUGUGAGUGUGUGUGUUACACAGACAGGUUUUAUCUGUACAUUAUAUAAUCCUUUAUUUGCAAUUCACUGUAACUUCAGCUAAAACCACAUUUAAAACAGCUGCUCAUUGCUUUUGAACAUUAAUUUUAAUCAUCUGAAGACUUUACAUCUAAUGAUGAAGACUGGCUUUUUAAAUCCUCCUUGUUUCAUUUGUACCCUGAUUCUGUUUGUUACUACUUCUGGCAUUCAUGCUUUCCAGGUGCAUUCUUGCAGACAACUUGAGGUAUACAUGGGGGUCUCAUGAGGAUUUGUGUGCACACCUACUUCUUCUCUGAUCCUAACCAGAAGGCCAAUGCUUUAAUGAGUUAGUGAUCGAUGUGACUGUUAACCUGAGAAAGUGCAGGCCUGUGCUGUGCUGUCCUAUCCUGUACAUACAACUUGGUAUUUAGACCUGUGUUGUGUCAUGCAUGUACUUUGGCAGCAGGGAGGACUUACCCUGCUAAUUGUAAUGAAGAAGCCUGUUGGCAGCUCCCACUUGACAUCAGUGAUUAGGUCACCUGCACAUCACAUAUUUAUCUUACAGUGAAGCAGCAUGUUCAUAUGCAAAUCUCCUUUUAUUUGACAGUAGAAAUUAUGAAUGUAAUUGUUUUCUUCUUCAGUAGCUCUGGAAAAUCUCAAGAAAAUUAUACUAAUUUACCAUCAAACCUCCCUAUGGGUAGGGUCGAUAACAUAUGUAAUGUCCUCAUUGGAGAUCUAUACAAUGCUGUACAACCCAUGGGUAUGAUAGUGAUGGGACAAAAGGGAGCAGAUUUAAACUGAAAGUGGAUAUUUAGAUUGGAUGUUAGGAAGAAAUCCUUUACUCAGAAGGUGAUGAGGCACUGGUAUAGGCUGCCCAGAGAAGCUGUGGACGCCCUGUUCCUGGAGGUGUGCAAGGCCAGGCUGGAUGGGGCCCUGGGCAUUCUCAUCUGGUAGGUGGUGGUGCUGCCCACAACAGUGGGUUGAAGGUCCUUUCCAACCUAAGCCAUUCUAUGACACCCAGCUUUUGAAGGGAUACAAGUUUAUCUACAGUAUCCUCUUAUUCCAUAUAGUGUCCACUCCAAUAAAAAGGAAUUCAAGUUAAUACAUGACAAUCCUGAGUGAUGUUCUUACUUAAGAAAAUACUUCCAUUGCUCUAACUUCCUCCUAUUUGCUAACUGAUGGAAAGCAGUGAGGUAUGCUCCCUAAAUAUCUGGUUUGUGAUUUCUUCCUUAAAGUGCAGAAUGUAUAUACUACAUCCUGCAGUAAGCACUGAAGAUUUGCUCUGACCUUUUGUGCUGAACACUCUGUGCAUGCUUAUUGUCACAGAGAUCCAUCACCAUGUCUGGAAGUGAAGAGGAUGUAUAGUGGGGGGGGCUGGGGGUCAGCUUACUUACCAAGAUCACAUAGCCUAAAGAAAGUGGACUUGGAUCUUCAGCAAGUCUAAGAUGAAUACUGCUCUUCUCCUUAUAGCAACUAGCCCUAAACACAAAGCCAAUACCUCAUUAGAAGACUCCCUUGUACGGAGAAAAUAAGCUGCUUCUUCACCUAGAUACCCAAGUGACUGAUCACUGAGAGGGCACCUUGUAGGGUGACACCAAAUGAUCAGUGAACAGAAAUAGGAGUCCAAAACUAUUUAGCUAUUUGUAAUAUUCAGCUACAGACACAGGCUCAUCUAGUCCAGAUGCUUGAGAACACUGACGUUACAGCCAACCCAGAGUCUGCUUUUGUUUAAGACAGCCUUUGGUACCUAAACAGAUUUGAGGCUGUUGGAAGACCACCUGUGUGUGUUGGUGCUAACUUCAAAGAGGGCUGAGACGUGAUCCCAGAGAAAACCAGAACCGGUAUGUACAAGAGUCCUUCCACUGCAGGCACAAAGUGUGUGUCCCCAAACAUGUCACAUUCAAUAAGAAAGGCUCUGGCGGAAAGAUGGAACUAGUACAUCAGGGCAUUGUAUCAUCUGAAAACAGUCUUUUCCUAAGGUAAUGUUGGCUAGGGACUUUUUUGAGUAGAUGGGGCCUCAGAACUGACAAACGUAACUAGUGUGUCAAUGUGCUAAUGAAGUUAGUCGUGCAUUGUUUGGAAAAUGGUACGUUUCCUCACAAGAUUUGCAAUUAAACAUCUAACAGAAAAUAAUGAUUUCCUUGCAGGCACUUAGGCACCAAAUAUAAAGACACAGAGGGAGAGCUAACCAGUGAAAGUACCUGCUAAAUACCACUAUUGAAAGCCACAGCUAUUUAUGAGUCUUUGUAUUCACUGUUGAUUGUAAGAACUAUAAAAUUAAAGUAUCCAGUGGGAGAAAGUAUGAUAUUUAACUUGCAGAAUUCCUUUCACAUACAGAACAGGUGCUUCUUUUUAUAAAGUGCAGGAGUUGGGAAGUUGAGAAAGAUAGCACACUGAUUUGCAUGUGUAUCAUCUUACUGAGGAGGAACAAGACAUUAGCUAAAUUACAAAGGGGGAAAACUGUAUUUUGCUGCAUAUAAGUAAAGAUUUCUAUAAUGAGCUUGAGUAAGCAGGAGAGCGGUGUUGGCUUGCAUGUGGAUUUCUGCCCACUGCAAACAGCAUGGGCAACUGUACCUUUCACUCGAAUCAGCUGGAAAGUUUUAUUAUGUUGAGCAGAGAUUCACAUUUGCACUGUUUGAACUUACACAAAAUAUCAGGAAAAAGAAAAGGGAAACAUGAGAGCAAAUCGAGUGUGAAACGUUUUGAAGACAUCCAGUCAAACAAUUUUUUUGAAGGAAGUUAUUGCUUCUUCCUGCAUCACUUUGCUCUUAUUUUUCAUUGUUCUUCAUCUUCUUUGUCUUUAUUUAUAUACUGAUGAGUCAAGAGAAAAAAAAAAAAAAAGGAAAAUGGUCACAGACAAGAUUCCUACAAUAAUAUUUGCCUACACACUGGUAUGGUUGAAGGUACAAAUUUGGCUAUCACAGCCUAAAAAGGCUGUCUGUCCUUCUGUGAGACAAGAAUGCCAAAAUCUAUGUGCUCUAGUUUCUACUUUCAAGUAAAGACUUCUGAAGUCUUGUUUUAAGAAAUGAGGCUGCAGGGAAUUCUCCUAUUUAAGAGAUAAUCUAGAUUAAAAAAGAAAAGAAAAGAAAAAGGAUAAUCUAAUUCAAUAAGAAGAUGUGAAGAUUUCAUUUGCAAGACUUCUCCCUUGAGAAGAGAGCAGCUUCUCUUUAAAUAAACAAACAAGUUGAUUUAUUCAUAAUUACUCUGGGUAGAUAUUUUUUGCCAAUCAAACAUAACAGGUAUACAUUGCAGAACAACUCCACAGUGAAUUAAGAGGAUGCAACUGAAUAAAAACAAGCAGGUCAUCACAUUUAGGCUAGAAUAAUGAACUGCAAAAAUAAAAGGUGAGGAAGGACAAUCUAAGUAACGGCAUGGCAGAAAAUGAUUUGACUGUUAACAUAGAUAACAGGCUGAAUGGGAGUAAACAGUGUUAAGCAGCUAUUAAGGAAAAAUAAAGGCGAAGGCUGCAAUUUAUAGCCAGUGUUAUCACUCUCAAAACAUUCAGUAGAUCUUCAGAUGUCCUUUGAGCUGCUUAUUCCACAGCUAUUGGAUGCUGUGUCCAGUUUUAGGUACUUCAAGGAAGGUACGACCUAUUGAAAAAAAUCAGAGGAGGACAACCGUAAUUACCAGGCUUCAUCUAAGCAUAAUCAUAAGGAAAGGCUGAAGUAAUUGCCUUAGAUUUAGUCUAAGCUUUAUUUGCACCGCUACCAUUUUCCUGGUGCGUUACCAGGAUACACCUUGGGAAAGGCAGGGGGGGACAGGAGAAAAUGGGAAAAAAUUCUUCCCUAUGAUUGCAGAUUGCUCUCCUGCUCUGAAGCAGCUGCCAUCGGAAAUUGUUUUCAAAGAACCUUCGCCUUGCCUCUGUGCUGAAUGAGCCUACGGAAUAAGCUGGCACGAGCUUGAUUUGAAAUGAAAUAACUCCCAUUUAGAGUGAACUGUGUGAUGAAGAUGUAGUUAUAAAAUAAAUAAUGAUUCAGCUCUUUCAGCUCUAACUUUCAAUUUUGUCCUUAUUAAGUUGCUCAACCAGGUGUUGAAGCCAAUAGAAUUUGCUUUUUCCCCUGUUGGAAAGCUAUUUUGAGUGCAGCGUGACUGGAGAACAGCCACUUAUUAGCUGCUCGGCUGUGCUUUCAGCUUUUCUGCUAGAAUCCCCCGCAAUUGCUUGAACAACACAUUUGCCAAUACUCAUCUAGCUCAAUCAGUACCUAUAAGGCUGCGAUAUGAAAUUACGCGGUGGUUGCGGUGGUGGUGAGUUACCUGCUGUUUAACAUCUUUGUUUCAUGGCAUGGUGCUGGGAGGGAUGCAAUGCCAACUUUGAGCUUCAGUUUGUAUUCGAAUCUUUCACUCCUCACGCUAUCCACUUGAAUUCCCCUGUAGUUUCAGUACAGUAUGCAUCCUGGCAGAAAUUCCUGAAUAACGUUACAGAGUUGCUGUGGCUCAUGCUGGAGCUAUCUUUCCUUCGAUGACGAGGGACGUAAUCCAUCUGCAUCCCAACUGGACUGCGAGGAUUAAUUAACGUUCACAAUGGGCUAUGAGUUCCUUGCAUGCUAUUGAAGUGGAAAUUAUUAUUUGUUACAGCCAGUCUGAAUGCCAUAUGGGAUUUCCACGUCAGGGUUUCAGCUCUGUUGUGCAUCAACAAGCUUGAACUGGUACCAUGAAGAAAAGAUUAGCAUUACAUUUCGUUGUUGUGUAUUUGGUGCUGCGUCUACCUAAGGACAAAUAUUUCCUGAGAAGCAGAGCUCUGCAAAACUGAACUCCAUGGUCUUUUCUGUAGCUCAAAGCCUGCAACAUCCCUUUCCAUCUGCUGCGCUUCUACUCUGGUACGGGCUGAAGCCACAGAGUAGUGGAUUCCUUGGAACUUCUCAGCCAUGUUUGUUUGUUAUUGCCUUCAAGUCAGCUUUGGGAGUCUGUGCAAGAAAUAAAGGUAGAAUCUGGCUCUGCAUUUUGCAACAGAUGCUUUUCCCCAUGUAGUAGAUUUGUACCUUUGUGCUACUUCAGGGACUGAGUAAAAUGGACUCAUCAUGCCUGAAACUCAAGUCAGAGAUGUGUGAUGCAUAGCCAUUCCACAAUAUUCUUCUAUGCUUGCAACACCUACAAAAUAGAACCUAAAACGUACUUUGCUAGUUUGCAGGGGCAAAUGAAUUUGUUACUUUGCUUCUAUGCAUCAGCUUUAGUUUAGCUUAGAGCGCAUUUUAAAACACUCCUGUGACAUCAGUCCUUGCAAGCCCUUACAAACAAACCAGUUUUAAAUGAGUGUGGGAAUUCCUGCAGUAUUAUGACAGACACUCAUCACUGACAGAGGAAACAAAUAAAAUCUAAUUGCCCAGUUUGCUUGUGAGGGUUCCCUGGAAAAGAUCAGCCAUCAAACAGUUUGAAAUUAGCUUCCUAGCUGAAGGAUUCUCUUUUGUUUCUCACACAAAUAAACGGGGAUGCUUGGCUUUCCAAAACAGGCACUGUUAAAGAGAUACAAGUAUAGAGUUCUCACCACAUACAUUUUAUAUAUAUAUAUAUAUAUAUUAACAUUUAGCUGGCAGGUUUCAGUUUUAUAGGUAAGACUCCAAUUCUGAUCACUAAACACAUGCCAAAAGUUAGAUGCAAUCCCAAUGAGCUUCUUGCACACCCACACCCCUGUAGCGUUAUUCUUCUCAACCUUCUAAGCAUCCCCUCCGAUUUUGUGAACAACCACAAAGCAUGUUUGGCAGUAAUUCUGCUGUAACUGCUCUUCUGUGAGGAUGUUACAACAGAUCAGUUGAAAGCAAAGUUAAAUACAACGAAAGUAAAUACAAAACAGUAUCAAAGCAAAAGAUGUAGGGGUGUAGGAAAAACAAACAAACAUAAUGUCAGGAAAAAAAAAGACAGGUUUGGAGAUGAGAGAUUAUGGGAGUGAUGCAAGAAGAACAGGGAUGGAUAGAGAAGGGACUAGGAAUGAAAAUAAAAGAAUGACACAGGAGAAACUGACAUCAACGUUUUUAUUACAAGAUAAGUGCAAGUUACUGUCAUUAUAGCUUCUCUAAUUAUCUUUCAACCUUUUUUUUUUUCAAUAUAUAUAUACAUGAUGUCCAUAUGUUGCAAAUAACAGGGUUUUAUGACUUUUGUUCUCUCACCUUUCCCAUAGCUUACAUUCCAUUUUAAUUGCUACACUGAUAUCAGAUGCUUCACUUAAUGAUCUUGCACCAGUGCUCCCUAUUUGUGGUGAUAACGCUCUUGGGGGAGCAAAACCACCUGCCUCGUGGUUGUAGGCUACGUGCUGUUCUCGUGGACGUCCACUAGAUGGCAAAGCCGGUAUUUUUGUUGAGUUUACAUGCCACCUUCAGCUAAUAACUAACCCUAGGGUAUGUGCACAGGCUAAAAAUGGCGAUUAAAGGACACCGAAUGGUGUCUCCGUGGAAAAGAGUGUAUUUCCUAGGGUUAAUAACAAAACAGGAGAAUGAAAGACUCAGUUAUAAAAUGGUGAUGCUCUCAGGAAAGCACAGUGUUCUCUCUAUUCUCUGUGAAUCUCUGUAGGAGUCAUCUCUGAGGUAGAAUCGUUUGUUUUCCAGUGGAAAUAAAUUCU